UUAAGAAGAGUACUGUGUUCUCAAUUUAAUCCACCGUCAGACUUGAAUUUUACAAUUAUAGAUGAACAUAAUGUUCAAAUGUCAUGGAAAAGGCCACCAGAUGCAAUAGUGGGUUACAGGAUAACUGUGGUUCCAACAAAUGAUGGGCCUACUAAAGAAUUUACUCUUUCACCUAGCACUACCCAAACUGUCUUAUCGGAUCUCACACCUGAUAUAGAGUAUGUUGUAUCAAUAGCCUCAUAUGAUGAAAGAGAGGAGAGUCUACCUGUUUUUGGCCAACUAACAAUUCAGACAGGUGGUCCAGGGAUACCUGAGCAAAAGAAGGUUGAGGCUCAAUUACAAAGAUGCUCCAUAAGUGCAAUGACAGAUUUAGUUUUCCUGGUAGAUGGUUCAUGGAGUGUAGGGAGAAAUAACUUUGGAUAUAUUCUGGACUUCAUGGUUGCCCUUGUAUCAGCUUUUGACAUUGGGGAAGAAAAGACGAGAGUUGGAGUUGUUCAGUACAGUUCAGAUACAAGAACAGAGUUCAAUUUAAAUCAGUAUUUCAGAAGAAGUGAUCUUAUUGAUGCAAUUAAAAGGAUACCUUACAAAGGUGGCAACACAAUGACAGGUGAGGCUAUUGAUUACCUGGUUCAAAACACCUUCACUGAGUCUGCUGGAGCAAGAAAAGGUUUUCCCAAAGUAGCAAUUGUCAUUACGGAUGGAAAAGCUCAAGACGAAGUCGAAAUUCCUGCAAGAGAGCUUCGCAACAUAGGGGUUGAAGUUUUUUCUUUGGGAAUCAAAGCAGCAGAUGCAAAGGAACUCAAGCUAAUCGCAUCUCAGCCUUCACUGAAGCAUGUGUUCAAUGUGGCUAAUUUUGAUGGAAUUGUGGAUAUACAGAAUGAAAUUAUCUUGCAAGUGUGCUCUGGUGUUGAUGAACAACUAGGUGAACUGGUUAGUGGAGAAGAAGUGGUGGAGCCUCCUUCAAAUCUGGUGGCCACUCAGAUCUCCUCAAAAUCUGUUAGGAUCACUUGGGAUCCAUCCACAAGUCAAAUAACUGGCUAUCGGCUGCAGUUCAUUCCAAUGAUAGCUGGUGGAAAACAACAUGUACUGAGUGUGGGUCCUCAGACUACUGCUCUGAAUGUUAAAGAUCUCUCUCCAGACACAGAGUAUCAAAUUAAUGUUUAUGCAAUGAAAGGGCUGACCCCCAGUGAGCCAAUAACGAUAAUGGAAAAAACACAACAAGUAAAAGUUCAAGUGGAAUGCUCACGUGGUGUGGAUGUAAAAGCUGAUGUUGUGUUUUUAGUGGAUGGUUCCUACAGCAUUGGUAUCGCCAAUUUUGUUAAAGUAAGAGCAUUUUUGGAAGUGUUAGUUAAAAGCUUUGAGAUAUCGCCUCGAAAAGUACAGAUAAGUCUUGUCCAGUACAGCAGAGAUCCCCAUAUGGAGUUUUCUUUGAACAGAUACAACAGAGUGGAAGACAUAAUUCAGGCUAUUAACACCUUCCCCUACAGAGGUGGAUCUACCAACACAGGCAAAGCGAUGACAUAUGUGAGGGAGAAAGUAUUUGUUACCAGCAAAGGAUCAAGACCAAAUGUGCCAAGAGUCAUGAUUCUUAUUACUGAUGGAAAAUCGUCAGAUGCUUUUAAAGAACCUGCAAUAAAGCUGAGGGAUGCAGAUGUAGAAAUAUUUGCAGUCGGUGUGAAGGAUGCAGUGCGUACAGAGUUAGAAGCAAUUGCGUCACCUCCUGCUGAAACCCACGUUUACACAGUGGAAGAUUUUGAUGCUUUUCAAAGAAUAUCAUUUGAACUAACACAGUCUGUCUGCCUACGGAUUGAGCAGGAACUGGCUGCUAUACGGAAAAAAUCUUAUGUACCUGCAAAGAAUAUGGUCUUUUCUGAUGUAACAUCUGACAGUUUCAAAGUGAGCUGGUCUCCAGCUGGAUCUGAGGUUUUGUCCUAUCUCAUUAAAUAUAAAGUAGCAGUUGGUGGAGAUGAAUUCAUUGUUUCAGUACCAGCUUCAAGUACUAGCUCAGUUCUUACCAACUUGCUACCUGAAACUACUUAUGCAGUCAGUGUGAUUUCUGAAUACGAAGAUGGUGAUGGCCCUCCCUUGGAUGGAGAGGAAACCACCUUAGAAGUUAAAGGUGCUCCUCGAAACUUAAGGAUAACAGAUGAAACUACAGAUAGCUUUGUAGUUGGCUGGAGUGCAGCUCCAGGAAAUGUCCUACGGUACAGGAUUGUAUACAGACCACUUACUGCAGGAGAAAGGAGACAAGUGACUGUCUCAGCAAAUGAACGAUCAACUAUUCUGCAGAACUUGAUCCAAGAUACAAGAUAUGAAGUGUCUGUUAUUCCUGAGUAUCAGUCUGGGCCUGGGAAUUCGCUGAAUGGAUAUGCAAAAACUGAUGAAGUCCGAGGAAAUCCAAGAAAUUUGAGAGUUUCUGAUGCUACAACAUCAACAAUGAAGCUGUCCUGGGGCGCUGCUCCUGGCAAAGUGCAGCAGUAUUUUAUAACAUACACUCCAGUCGCAGGAGGUGAAACUAAGGAAGUGACUGUGAAAGGUGACACUACCUCUAAAGUGCUGAAAGGCUUAGACCAAGCCACUAGGUAUGCAUUGACUGUGUCUGCCUUGUAUGCCUCUGGAGCAGGAGAGGCCCUUUCUGGAGAGGGAGAAACACUUGAAGAACGUGGUUCACCACGUAAUUUGAUUACCACAGACAUAACUGACACUACAGUUGGGUUAUCAUGGACACCAGCUCCAGGAGCAGUUAAUGAUUACAGGAUAGUAUGGAAAUCACUUUAUGAUGAUACGAUGGGAGAGAAGAGAGUCCCUGGAAACAGAGUGGAUGCUGUGCUAGAAGGCUUGGAGCCAGAGACUAAAUACAGGAUUUCAGUAUCUGCAAUUUACAGCAGUGGAGAAGGAGACCCAGUAGAAGGAGAGGCUUUUACUGAUGUGUCACCAAAUGCCAGGACUGUGACAGUAGACAACGAGACAGAAAAUACAAUGAGAGUUACGUGGCAGCCUUCACCUGGAAAAGUCUUGUCUUAUCGUGUGUACUACCGACCACGCAGUGGAGGAAGACAGAUGUUUGGAAGAGUAAAUGCUCCUACUACAAGCAUAGUGUUAAAGCGACUUAAGCCGCGAACUACAUAUGACCUCAGCGUUGUUCCAAUUUAUGAUUUUGGACAAGGAAAAUCAAGAAAAGCAGAAGGAACAACAGCCUCUCCCUUUAAGCCGCCUCGAAAUCUGAGAACUUCUGAUUCAACUAUGUCAAGUUUCCGAGUAACCUGGGAGCCAGCCCCAGGGCGAGUAAAGGGGUACAAAGUAACUUUCCACCCUACUGAAGAUGAUGGGAGUCUUGGAGAAUUAAUAGUGGGACCAUACGACAGCACAGUGGUAUUGGAGGAGCUUAGGGCAGGAACUACCUAUAAGGUAAAUGUUUUUGGAAUGUUUGAAGGAGGAGAGAGCAGCCCCCUGGUUGGACAAGAGAUGACCACCCUUUCAGAUACUACUUCGGAGCCAUUUUUAUCUAGAGGUUUAGAAUGUAGAACCAGAGCAGAAGCUGAUAUCGUGCUGCUGGUGGAUGGCUCAUGGAGUAUCGGGCGGCCAAAUUUUAAAACUAUCAGGAACUUCAUCGCUCGUAUUGUUGAAGUUUUUGAUAUUGGUCCUGACAAAGUACAGAUUGGUCUUGCACAGUAUAGUGGAGAUCCCAGGACAGAAUGGAAUCUCAAUGCUUACCGAACCAAACAGGCUUUGUUAGAGGCUGUAGCCAACUUACCAUAUAAAGGAGGCAAUACUCUAACAGGAAUGGCCUUGGAUUUCAUCUUAAAAAACAACUUCAAACAAGAUGCAGGCUUAAGGCCCAGAGCUCGCAAAAUUGGUGUUCUCAUCACUGAUGGCAAAUCACAAGAUGAUAUAGUCACCCCUUCAAGAAGACUCAGAGAUGAAGGGGUGGAACUUUAUGCAAUUGGUAAGUAUUAUAUGAAGAGCUGGCAUGCGCCAAUCCCCUCAUGCCCAUCUGCUAAAUGAACAGAGAAGUGGCCACGUACAUAAGUACCUAAAAUGCUAUUCAAAGAAUGUGUUUAGGGACUGAAGUUCAUGGGAUUAUGUUUCAUGGCCAUAAUUUCUAACAAGUUUUGUUUUCAUGUCUUCUCUGUAAGGUAUUAAAAAUGCAGACGAAAAUGAAUUGAAGCAGAUUGCAACGGAUCCAGAUGACAUCCAUGCUUACAACGUUGCAGAUUUCUCCUUCCUGGCUAACAUUGUUGAUGAUGUAACCACGAAUCUGUGUAACAGUGUGAAAGGUCCAGGUACAUCACAUUUUCAGUCUAAUUCAUCCUUUUUCCAUUUAAGUGCUUGCCCUGCUAAUUCCUUUUUAUUACUUAUUGGGAACACUGUGUAGCCCUGGGCUGUUUUUUCAGCUGCUGGUGUGAGGAAGUUGUGCAGACCACCUGGACUACCCUGCAGGGGUUCUUCCUUUCCUU
rnacentral:lncRNA from 1 species